AAUUUGAUCAGGGCACAGGUAGCCAGAUACUGAGGUCCGUGGACAUAUUUCAGUCACCAGCGGUUACCACCAGCUCAUUCUGUGUACCCGCUCACAUUGUCUGUUGCCACACAGGCCGAGAACAGUGACAACGCUCCACUCACGCACGGAUUGCUGUGAUUGCGCAUCCUCCUCUUGCGCAGAGAUGUCUCCUUCGAGGCUGUCAUUGCGCCAUUUCAAGGGAAUGAGAGGAGCCGCUUUGAUUGGCUUUGAUUGAAGUCUGCCGUAAACACACCCACAGUGGCGCAACCUGCCCACUCUCAGAUCCGCCGAGCUGCUCUGGUCUACGAAAUUAUGAACACCGGUCUAACCCGCUCCGGGCGCACGCACGAUUGCGCCUCCCAUUAAAUUACAGAAACUUCAUUACAGAACCUCUGAACUCAAUCGCAUCAAACACAACAGGAAUGAACUAAAAGAGUGUUACAAGCAAGCCACGCUCUCUCUCAGGUCCAACAUCAGUGACCUCUGACCCCACAAAUGUUCUUCUGGAUCAAUGGACAAACAUCUCACACUCCUCCAAAGUCUUACAGCCCCCCCAUAUCGUUUUCCCUUGUCACUUCCUUUGAACGGUGAGGAUCACCACCAGCAGCAGCUUCAUUGACUGACGCUCUUUCUCACCUCGAGGCUUCCCCGCCCGGUCACUCCCACUUUGACGCCCUCACCCCACCCCCAAACACUCCCAGCGCCACUCGGGAGGCUAUUUUUUGCCACUCUUCACUAAAUAAGGCUGUGUAACAUGGCCAGGGUAGCCGGCUGGCGAAGGGGUGUGCGCCCCUCGCUGGUACCUUGGUAUAAAAAUGCCAGGACAGAUGGGAUUUCCUCUGAUCGCCCUCCACCUCACUCUCUUUCUCUCUGUCUCUCUUGCUUGUCCCCCUUUCCCAAAUAUACACCCUUUAACUCCAUUCUGUCUAACCUGCUUUGCUCAAUUUGUAACACUCUGCUGAUCAAAUAGUGGCCAAGAAGCUUUUUUUUUUCACAUUGAUAAUUGAUUCAUUUCGGAGGCUAUGACUUAUUAUUAUCACCUUUUGUUUUAAAGGAUUUUUUUUUUUCAAAGCGAUGACUAAGAGGAAUAUGAUGGGAAAAGGACAAGAAGGCCAACAAAAAGAGUAAGCAAUAAUUGAGAUUAUUUGUCAGAGAAGUCGGUGCUACGGAUGAUUUAUUGCAAUACAACCUUUAGUUGGCAAAUAAACCUACCUUGAAUUAUAUUCUAUGCAUUAAUGUAUUCUAUAGUAUUUUUUUUGUAUGUUUAUUUGUGUGCAAGAUUAUAACAAUCUACUUAAGACAUGUUCCGCUAUUUAUACUGAAGGAGGACAGCAAACAACAAGGAUGCAAACAAGGAUUUAUACCACACUGUGGUAUAAAUCCUUGUUUGUUAUUAUUCUGAAAAUUACUGUAUGUUAUUUAUUUUUCUAUUCGAUUAAGUCAAUAUCUGAAAAAAAAAAAAUCCUGAAUAUGCACUUGUAUCCGGGAUUUGCAGCCCAAAAGAUGUAUUUGAUUUUUUUGGGGGGGGUUUAUUUUGAUCUGCUCACACUGGAACUCUUUAUUAACCAUUCUCUUACCUUUCUCAUACUGCCAAAUAGUUGUCCUCUUUGAUUUGUCUUACUCGUUCCAUCCUCCAUGUGUUCUCCUCACCCAUCGCCCCCCCUCGCCACUUGCACGCCUCUCUCACGUCCCCAUUUGUCCUUCAGCUCCGUCAGCGUUCGCUCACUAUCUCGCUCCAUCUCCUCCUUUUCCUUCCUCGGCCACCUCGUCUGCUUGUCCUCUGUCCGCAGUGGACGGACAGCUGACACAUUUCCCUGCUCAGUCAUCACUUCACAGCCAUUCCUCUUACACAAACCUCUCAGUGGUUAUUGGCGCCUUUUUUUUUUUUUUUUUGCCAUCAAUUUCUGCCCUCCACCUCCUCGUUUUCCCCCUUCUUUCUUUCCUUCCUUCCUUCCUCCUCCUCCUCUCUCAUUAUAACCUUAAAGAGAGAGCAAGAGAGAGAGCAAGAGAGAGAGAGAGAGAAAGAGAGAGAGAGAGACAGAGGCAAGGCAAGUCCCAUGACCCUUUCCUUUUCUCUCCUGUCCUCUCUUUCACUCCUCUUCCUCUCCGCAUCUUCAAAGUCUCCAUCGCUGAUUCAGCUCCAAGCGAGGAGGAGGAGGAGAGCCACCGCCUGCAGCGAGCGCCUCACCCCGUACGGGCCGCCAGCCUCAUCUGGACCACUUUGAUUCCGGUGUCCAUCCGGAGUGCUUCUCCAGAUGCAGCGACCUUCUGUCCCAGAAUCCGCUUCCUCCCCAUCCCCAACAGCUUCUGUAAAUGCUUUGCUAAAGCUGGUAAAAUGGAACCAAAUCAACUGUUCAAUGGAUUUGGUCCCCUUCAACCAGCUGUAGCUGUGCAUUGAUCGCUCCGACUACUUACCCCACCCCCCUCCACCCCUCACUCCGUCUCACGCACGCACAUGAAAAUAUGAGGAACCAGUGUCUGUACAGAAAAGUCAUGUUACACGAGCCUCAACAGCCACACUUAAAAACAUAUAAACUAUGUUAUCUUGAAUGAUGGUGAAAGGAAACUGCGUUGCUUUAAAUGCAUGUUUUGUUUUGGGGUUUUUUUCUGAGUGCAUGCCCCGCCCCCAAAUAAAAACAAAUAAAAAUACAAA